AACGAACGCUGGCGGCAUGCCUAACACAUGCAAGUCGAACGAGACCUUCGGGUCUAGUGGCGCACGGGUGCGUAACGCGUGGGAACCUGCCCUUAGGUUCGGAAUAACUCCCCGAAAGGGGUGCUAAUACCGGAUAAUGUCUUCGGACCAAAGAUUUAUCGCCUUUGGAUGGGCCCGCGUUGGAUUAGCUAGUCGGUAGGGUAAAAGCCUACCAAGGCGACGAUCCAUAGCUGGUCUGAGAGGAUGAUCAGCCACACUGGGACUGAGACACGGCCCAGACUCCUACGGGAGGCAGCAGUGGGGAAUAUUGGACAAUGGGCGAAAGCCUGAUCCAGCAAUGCCGCGUGAGUGAUGAAGGCCUUAGGGUUGUAAAGCUCUUUUACCCGGGAUGAUAAUGACAGUACCGGGAGAAUAAGCGCCGGCUAACUCCGUG
rnacentral:rRNA from 1 species